GAGUCUAUAACUCAGUUGGUUAGAGUGUGCGUUUGAUAAGCGCAAUGUCAGUAGUUCGAUUCUACUUAGACUCA
rnacentral:tRNA from 1 species